AAUCAGCGCUGGCGGCGUGCCUCAGACAUGCAAGUCGAACGAUUAAAGCUCUCUUCGGAGAGUGUAUAGAGUGGCGCACGGGUGAGUAACACGUAAGUAAUCUACCUUUGAGUGGGGAUAACAGUCGGAACGACUGCUAAUACCGCAUAAUGCAGCGGCACCGCAAGGUGACAAUUGUUAAAGGAGCAAUUCGCUUAAAGAGGAGCUUGCGGCAGAUAGCUUGUUGGUAAGGUAACGGCUUACCAAGGCUACGAUCUGUAUCCGGUCUUAGAGGACGGUCGGACACACUGACACUGAAUAACGGGUCAGACUCCUACGGGAGGCAGCAGUCGGG
rnacentral:rRNA from 1 species